CAUGGCUCAGGAUGAACGCUAGCUACAGGCUUAACACAUGCAAGUCGAGGGGCAGCAUGUGGUUGCUGCAACCAAUGAUGGCGACCGGCGCACGGGUGAGUAACGCGUAUCCAACCUUCCCCUUAGUAGAGGAUAGCCUGGCGAAAGUCGGAUUAAUACUCUAUGUUCUUCAAUGCGGGCAUCUAAGUUGAAGCAAAGAUUUAUCGCUAAGGGAUGGGGAUGCGUCUGAUUAGGUUGCAGGCGGGUAACGGCCCACCUGGCCUACGAUCAGUAGGGGUUCUGAGAGGAAGGUCCCCCACACUGGUACUGAGACACGGACCAGACUCCUACGGGAGGCAGCAGUGAGGAAUAUUGGUCAAUGGGCGCGAGCCUGAACCAGCCAAGUAGCGUGCCAGGACGACUGCCCUAUGGGUUGUAAACUGCUUUUAUCAGGGAAUAAAGUGAGGCACGCGUGCCUUUUUGUAUGUACCUGAUGAAUAAGGACCGGCUAAUUCCGUGCCAGCCGCCGC
rnacentral:rRNA from 1 species